CGGGUCACCAUGGCAACCGCCGGACCGCCCUCAGCGCGCCCAGGGAGCGGGGAAUUACUCACUUGAUUAGUUAAUUAACGAUUGCUGAAGGGGCUGGAGCAGAGUCUGUCGUUCUGAGCAGGGAAAGCGCCGUUAUGAGGCACCCUGAAGCGACAUUUACGUGUUAUUAGCAGGAUGUCGAGCGGCCCCGAGGUCCCCCUUUCUCCUGUGGGGAUAGAAAGGAUCCCCAGGCGUCUGCAGGCACGAGGGACUCGUCCAACUGGGAUUUUUCUCCAGCCCAUGGUAAGAUGGAUUUUCAGGGUCCCACGGAUCACGGGCCAGCUCUCCUGCUAGAGUUUUUGGGUGCUGGAUUGGAACCCAAAGAGCAAACUUAGUCAGGUCUGUUCUGGAGUGUGUUACACUUGUGCAAAGUUCCUUCCUUCUGUUUCUUUUCUGUUCUGGAAAGCACAGUCUGGGGGUCCCGGGCCCUUCCUAUGAAAUGUUGCCAUGGAAAUCAUUUUGUACUGAGAGGGGAAAGGAGCUGUCUGUUGGAGGUCAGAUGUCCACGAUAAAAGCUCGAUGUUUUUUCAGUCAGCGAGCUCUUAAAAUCUCUUAGUGUGUGGGAAUGCCUGGCUUCUAAAACUCACCAGCUGAGUCUGAGAGGCUUCUUUGCAGAGCUGAUUUCAGGCAGCAGAAUUGGCCCCCAGCAGGGACUCUGUGCCUGCUCUCCCGUGGCUCCAAGGGAUCUCUGGGCCUUCACGCCGGCACCGAGAUUUUCUCGGGAAGGGCCUCAGAUCCCCGGAGCGGUCUGGGACACAGGCAAGAUCCCCCUGCCUUUAGAAAUGAGGCCUUCUUGUGGCUUCCUACCCGUCCACGUUGGGUGGGUUCCAAAGAAGGACUCUUGAAAUGCCUUUUGGGCUGUCUACUGAAAGCUUGGGACCAAAUUGGGCCCCCUGGAGGGACAGUGCUGUUGGUGCCCCCCGGGUUGGGGCACCCCGAGGACUCCAGCGCACACUGAAAGGAUUAUUCGGGGA